rnacentral:misc_RNA from 1 species
UAAAUAAAAAUUUUUAUUAUUACUAUCCACCGCUAGACCAACUUGUUCUCAUCGAAAUAAUCAACGAUUCACACUCCUAGCUUCAUAGUUGCUGAUUGGGAUAGCCUUUCUUAUAGAAUUUAUUUUUCUUUUUACUUAAUGGCGUAUAAUUAUGUUUUUUUUAUUAUUGUUUAAAAUAAUUGAGUCCUAAUUUAGAUUGAAAAUUUUAAUUUAAUACCAUUGAAUAUGAGCUACAAGUAGCCAAGCUAGUUCUGCAACUAAUUAACAGAAUUGCAAACUCGUCUAAUCUCUCCUUCUGAACCUGUUUUAACACCAAUAUUCCCCAACUUCACCAUUGCUACAGCAAAAUCAGCUUUAAAAGACGGGCGUCUAUUCGUAAAGCCAACAUAGGAAUCGAGUACCUGCCUAGUGUUCUUGUCAUCAUAAAGCCUAGCAUCAGAUGCUAGCACAGCAAACCCAUUUCUGAUGUUGUGGAAGAUAUGAUCGUCAAAUGUGAAUUGAGAGGACAAGUCAAGAGGUAGUCGAACAUUUACAUCUCCAUUGAGAGGGCAUUGAGCUUUAAGCUGUGGCAGAAAUUGUGAAUUGAUUGCAGGAUCAGAGUCACCAUGACCAGUAAAGUUGUACAGUCUCUUUGGCAUGAAGAAGCACGCAGAAGUUCCAAUUGUAUGCCCACCACCACUGAGAAGGACAAGUUCUUUAUCUGAAAGGCCCAUCUCUCUGAACUUAGACCUGAGAAGCUCAAUUGAGUCAUCAACAUCUGGCAAAUUGGCAGCGAGUUGAAUAUUUGAAAUUCGACCAUCUCUCCUCCCAGUUGGAACACCAUAAAAUGGCCCAGCAGUCUGCAGAGGCAGAACAUCAAUGGCAGAAGCAUUAAAGUAUGUAAUAACAUAUAUUUCUCCGUUUUAUAAUAUGAAUCAAGUACCAAGGCAACAGCAUCACGGGCAGCUAAAGCCACAAUGUCUGCACAUGAAACCACUCCAGGGCAAGUGGCUUCCAAUUGUGCCUUGGCAUUAUGUAUCACUUCAAAACCUGCAAGGCCCAAGUUCCCUUUUGCAUUUCUCUCACUAGUUUCACCAUUCUCUAGCAAAAUUGACCCAUCACAGCCCUGAACAAAGCAG